GGUAGUUUAGGCUGGAAGAAACUUCUGGAUGUCUUCUAGUCCAAGCCCUUUCUCCAAGCAGGUAUCGUUACAUCAGGUUCCUCAUGGUUGCAUCCAAUCAAGUUGAAAUAUCCAGACAGAGAUUCCGCAACCUCUAUUAAAUGCUGAUUGCUGCAAUGCACUGGUAAGAAAGCAAUUCACAUGCAAAAUUAUUCCCCAUUUUUUUCUGGAUACAAUUUGGAAUGUUCCACUUUUUAUCAGAGGCCUUUCCCAUUUUCUGGAUUGCGUAUGUCCAGUUCAGGUAUCAUAUGUCUGAUAUCUGGUAGCAGCUAACGGGUGCCAAGAGGUACCUGCUCCGUUUAGUCUUGUACAAGCUUACAGUGAUAAUAAUGAGUUAAGUAGCUCAGAGUGCAAAAGUUAGCACAGUAAGUAAAAUGUUUGGUUGCUCUAUGAUUUACAGCUGGUUUGUUUCCUUGUUUACAAAACUGGCUGGAGUUAUUUUUCCCCUCAAGCUAUUUUAAAGCUGUACUUCAUCGUCUCUGAAGCAUUUUUUAGAUAUUUCACUUCAUCUACAGCAUUUUGUUUCUUUAUCCAAAUUUUUAAUGGUCUUUCAUUUAUGCUUCAUAUGAAACUACUGACAAAAGCCUUAGCCAGUGUCAGAACCUGUAUGCUCAGCCCUUCACAAAUGCAUCAGGAGGAUUUCCUUGUGGGUCAAUUAGCUCUUUCUGCUUUACCAUGUCCUCAUCCUUGGAUCUGCCUGGGGGCAGCUGUGGUGAUUUCUGGGGGAGCAGGAAUAAGGACUCGCUUCUCCUCACCUUGGAGCAAGAUCCUUGUUUUACAUCUAAUGUCAUUUUUGUGGCCAACAGUCACUGCAAUAAUCAGCUUUGCAGAUUUAAUUCUCUCUUAGGCUUUUGGGGGAGGUGAUAAAAAUCUGUAAAUUGUCAUUGUCAUCAGUAUUUAAAAACAGUCCCUUAAAACGGUGCAGUGAUUUUAACUCAUAUCUUUGGACAAACUCUGGAAAAUCUAGCAUCAUUGCUAGAACCACUGGUAGCCCUUCUCAGUGUGUAAAUCCCAUGUGGGUUCACAGCCCCAUGAAGACUUCACUGACCUCUGUAGAACUGGGGAGCAGAGGUUUUGCCUCAUCCCCCCUGAUGUGUCCUGUCUCUCUUCAUCUUCUGUCUCCUCUGCUGUGCAGAUCUCGGAAGAUCAGAAGGUCAGAAGAGCCAGGAAAGCUGUUGAGAUUACUUCUAUGGCAAAGCAGUGCUUCAAGAAACACAUGCCAGAGACAUAGUUGUCUGCUGCUACUUUGGUCUCAGCUAGUUGCAGAAGACAGGGUUUGGCCUGAACUCCUGGUGGGAGCCUCUUCUUCCACCUUCCUGGGAGACCAGUGCUGUGCCAGCAGCAGGCUGAGGUAGUGAUGCUGACUACCAAGGCUGCUGCAGGCAGUGGGACCACUGCCUGUGCCCUGGCCUGGGGUGCACAGAGCAAGAUGUGAGAAACUACUGGACAUGGCACAAGAAACUGCUGGACCUGAAAGAUCACAGAGUGAGAAGCUGGCAGCUUUACAGAGAGUACUGUGAGGAAUUCACAGGUGGUUAAGGAGGAGUUAUGUGAGAAACAACCAAAAUUCACAAGAAACGUGAAGUAUGAAGGUACUUAAGGACAGCAAGACAUUGGCCGAGAAUAAGGAUUCCAGUUCAACGUAACCCUCUUCACAACCCCAUGCUUGGACUGACUGCAUUCCUGGGAAGCAGGGCACAGCUUUGUUAACCCAGUAGAGUUGCACCCAGUUGCUUCAGGAGUUAAUUUGGCAGCUUCACUGCAAGGAACCGAUUCAGAAGUGUAAGUUAAGCUGCUCAUCAUUUGCGUGUGGAUGUUGCCCUGCUUCUGUGCUCUGCCUCUGUGCACUUUCAAUUCAGUUUACCUGCUCUGGUGUACCAGGUAAGUGAACCUGCUCUGGCCUGUGCCACGUGCCUGAACUUCAUAACAGUGUAGGAGAUGGGGUUGCUACCUUACUGAAAUCUAUUUCAGCCCUUUUUUUUUUUUUUUUAUGAUUUUGUUAUGAUUAGUGAGUGAGACUAAACCAUUUGUAGUGCAUUUAUUAGCAGAAACAAUAUUGAAAGUAAUUUGACCCCUACAGUACUUUCCUUUUUAAUAAUACUAUACAGUGGCAAAAAGGCUAUGAAAUCAUGUGUAGAGAUCUUUAUCUUAGUUGAACUGGUUGAAAUAUAGACAAUGGAAAUUCCCUGGGUUGACAUUGGUAUAAUAGGAAGCAGCAUAAGGCCUGCUCCUCUGAGCAAUGUGCUGUCACCACAAACUACCUCACUGUACAUAGCUAACAUAAAAAGUUUGUCAGCCAGCUCCUGUGAGCUCUUUAUUUAUGGCUACUCUAUCAUCUAAAUAAAGCCAUGUUUUUCAUGAUUAGAAACAUAACAGUCUUGCAAAAUCUGAAGUUGUAUAAGUGAAUGUGAAUGCUUUUAUUAUGAAAUCAUUUUUUCUGUAAGCACUGCAGAAAUCAGAUAAUGCCAUACUGUGUUACUCAGCUGGCAGGUCAAGUGUGAUAUGAAGGCACUCGGCUCAGAAGACCUCUCCUAGCAGGUUGCAUCUCACCCAAGGACUAUAUUAACAGUAUUUUCUCUCACAGGACUCGAAAAGUUGGAAACUCAAGCUUAUAUUUUUGUCAUCAGCUUCUUCAGCUGGUAAAUGUGCCUCCCCUAGCAUAUGUGCACAGCACCUCACCUGAUGAUGGUCUAACCCAAGGGGAGGAGGGUGUUGUGUGCCACAGCUGUGAGCAGCUGUACCAUUUAUCUCUGGAGUGAUGGUCCAACAGCUUACCUGAGGAGUAAGAGCUGAGACUAUUGAUUGUGAGACAUCAGGUUUCAGCAGUUCAAAGGGAUCAACCUCUGGAAAAGAAAGGCAGAAAGAAGGAAUAAACCCAUACACAG